rnacentral:rRNA from 1 species
UUUAUGGAGAGUUUGAUCCUGGCUCAGGAUGAACGCUGGCGGCGUGCCUAAUACAUGCAAGUCGAGCGAACAGAUAAGGAGCUUGCUCCUUUGACGUUAGCGGCGGACGGGUGAGUAACACGUGGGUAACCUACCUAUAAGACUGGGAUAACUUCGGGAAACCGGAGCUAAUACCGGAUAAUAUUUCGAACCGCAUG